GACGAACGCUGGCGGCGGGCUUAACACAUGCAAGUCGAACGGAAAGGCCCUGCUUUUGUGGGGUGCUCGAGUGGCGAACGGGUGAGUAACAUGGGAGUAACCUGGCCUUGGGUGUGGGAUAACUUCAGGAAACCGGGGCUAAUACCGGAUAGGAGCGCCUGCAGCAUGGUGGGGGUUGGAAAGUUUCGGCGGUUGGGGAUGGACGCGGGGCUUAUGAGCUUGUUGGUGGGGUAGUGGCUUAGCAAGGCUUCGACGGGUAGCCGGCCUGAGAGGGUGACCGGCCACAUGGGGACUGAGAUACGGACCAGACUCCUACGGGAGGCAGCAGUGGGGAGUAUUGCACAAUGGGCGGAAGCCUGAUGAAGCAACGCCGCGUGCGGGAUGACGGCCUUCGGGUUGUAAACCGCUUUCGCCUGUGACGAAGCGUGAGUGACGGUAAUGGGUAAAGAAGCACCGGCUAACUACGUG
rnacentral:rRNA from 1 species